GGGAACCGCCUGAACUGAAACAUCUAAGUAGGGCGAGGAAGAGAAAUCAACCGAGAUUCCGCUAGUAGUGGCGAGCGAACGCGGAAGAGGCCAAACCAAGAGUAGUAAUACUUUUGGGGUUUUGGACAGCAUACGGUAUUAACUGCGGUUAGUAGAAUGAAAUGGGAAGUUCAACCACAGAGCGUGAUAGUCGCGUACACGAAAACUAAAGUUAGCCAGCUGGAUCCAGAGUACCGCCGGACACGUGAAACCCGGUGGGAAGACGGGGGGACCACCCUCCAAGCCUAAAUACUCUCCAAUGACCGAUAGUGUAUAGUACUGUGAAGGAAAGGUGAAAAGAACCCCUGGCGGGGAGUGAAAUAGAACCUGAAACCUUGUGCCUACAAGCACAUAGAGCGCGUCAAUGCGUGAUAUGGUACCUUUUGUAGAAUGGUCCGGCGAGUGAAUGUCACUGGCAAGGUUAAGCUCUUCAGGAGUGCAGCCGAAGCGAAAGCGAGUCUGAAAUGGGCGUUUUAGUCAGUGGUAUUCGACCCGAAACCGGGUGACCUAGCCAUGAGCAGGCUGAAGUGGAGGUAAAACUCCAUGGAGGGCCGAACCCACUCCCGUUGAAAUGGUAGGGGAUGACUUGUGGCUAGCGGAGAAAUUCCAAUCGAACCCGGAGAUAGCUGGUUCUCUCCGAAAUAGCUUUAGGGCUAGCCUCAAUUAACAUUACCGCAGGUAAAGCACUGAAUGAGCUAGGGGGCGAAAGCUUACUGAACUCUAUCAAACUCAGAAUGGCGGAUAAUGAAUGAUUGGGAGUCACACUACGUGAGAUAAGUUUCGUGGUGGAAAGGGAAACAGCCCAGACCCACAGCUAAGGUCCCAAAGUACAGUUAAGUGGAAAAGGAUGUGAAAUUGCGCAGACAACCAGGAUGUUGGCUCAGAAGCAGCCACUCAUUCAAAGAGUGCGUAAUAGCUCACUGGUCGAGUGAUUUUGCGCCGAAAAUUUAACGGGGCUAAACUGUACACCGAAGCUUGGGAAUAUACAUUUGUAUGUUGGUAGGAGAGCGUUGUGUAAGGGGUGAAGUCGUAGCGAAAGCGGCGGUGGACUUUACACAAGUGAGAAUGCCGGAAUGAGUAGCGAGAAUUAUGUGAGAAUCAUAAUGGCCGAAAGACUAAGGUUUUAGAAGGAAGGUUCGUCCGCUUCUAGUUAGCCGGGAGCUAAGGCGAGGCCGAGAGGCGUAGUCGAUGCACAUACGGUUGAGAUUCCGUAGCUACCUUGCAUUUAAGCGAAGGGACACAUUUGAAGGGCAUGACCCGGGCGUUGGUUGACCCGGGCGUAAGGGACCGAAAAUAAGUAGGGAAGCAUGCUUGGAUGGUGGCGAGAAAAGCUUCGUGUAUAUAAGCAGGGUACCCGUACUGCAAACCGACACAGGUAGUCAGGAAGAGGAUUCUAAGGCCAUCGGGAGAAGCGUUGUUAAGGAACUCGGCAAAUUGACCCCGUAACUUCGGAAUAAGGGGUGCUCACGCGAGUGAGCCGCAGUGAAUAGGUCCAGGCAACUGUUUAUCAAAAACACAGCUCUCUGCUAAAUCGUAAGAUGACGUAUAGGGGGUGACACCUGCCCGGUGCUGGAAGGUUAAGAGGAGGAGUGCAAGCUCCGAAUUGAAGCCCCAGUAAACGGCGGCCGUAACUAUAACGGUCCUAAGGUAGCGAAAUUCCUUGUCGGGUAAGUUCCGACCCGCACGAAUGGUGUAACGAUCUGGACGCUGUCUCAACUGCCCACCCGGCGAAAUUGUAGUACCGGUGAAGAUGCCGGUUACCCGCGGCAAGACGGAAAGACCCCAUGGAGCUUCACUGUAGCCUGAUAUUGGGUCUCGGUAUUUUAUGUACAGGAUAGGCGGGAGACUUGGAAACCAGCACGCCAGUGUUGGCGGAGUCACCCUUGGGAUACCGCUCUUAAAGUAUUGAGAUUCUAACCUGCAGCCAUGAAUCUGGCUGGGGGACAUUGUCAGGUGGGCAGUUUGACUGGGGCGGUCGCCUCCAAAAGAGUAACGGAGGCGUUCAAAGGUUCACUCAGCAUGGACGGAAACCAUGCCUUAGAGUGCAAACGCAUAAGUGAGCCUAACUGCGAGACUGACGGGUCGAGCAGUAACGAAAGUUGGAGUUAGUGAUCCGGCGGUAUGUGAGUGGAAAUGCCGUCGCUCAACGGAUAAAAGCUACCCUGGGGAUAACAGGCUGAUCU
rnacentral:rRNA from 1 species